UACGGGAGGUGCAAGCGUUGUUCGGAAUGACUGGGCGUAAAGAGCACGUAGGCGGGCGUGUAAGUCAGAUGUGAAAUCCCUGGGCUUAACCUAGGAAUGGCAUUUGAAACUGCAUGUCUUGAAUGUUCGAGGGGCUAGUGGAAUUCCAGGUGUAGGAGUGAAAUCCGUAGAUAUCUGGAGGAAUAUCAGAGGCGAAGGCGACUGGCUGGCGAAACAUUGACGCUGAGGUGCGAAAGCGUGGGGAGCAAACAGG
rnacentral:rRNA from 1 species